UACGGGGGGGGGCAAGCGUUGUUCGGAAUUACUGGGCGUAAAGGGCUCGUAGGCGGCCGACUCAGUCAGACGUGAAAUCCCUCGGCUUAACCGGGGAACUGCGUCUGAUACUGGAUGGCUUGAGUCCGGGAGAGGGAUGCGGAAUUCCAGGUGUAGCGGUGAAAUGCGUAGAUAUCUGGAGGAACACCGGUGGCGAAGGCGGCAUCCUGGACCGGCACUGACGCUGAUGAGCGAAAGCCAGGGGAGCAAACGGG
rnacentral:rRNA from 1 species